UUACUACACACACACAUUCAGCUUAGCUAUUUUGUACACUCAACUCUGACGUUUUAUCCGAGAAUUGGUUCUCUCCGACUCCCACCAGACCAACCACCGCCGCCUUCUCUUGUGCAUUGUUCGUGCGUUGACGACUCGACAUUUUUUUUUUCGUGAAUUGUUCGUAAACUUCAUUAAUUUCUUGCCGUCCAGACACUUUGGCACGUAACGUAAACUCGUCUUGGCCGCCGUGUGCACAACGCAACAACUACGGUACAGCCACCGAUUGACUGACGCCGCCGAUUCUGCUGCUGUUCCUGCUGCUGCUGUUGCUGCUGCAUUCCGUCGUGUAUCGUCCGUGUGUGGUGAGUGUAUGACGUGGUGGCCCUUGUUGUCUUGAACGCACACGACAAUACUGUAAAUAACGAAAACGACAACACUCGAUCCACAUCACAGUGUAGACGAGAAAUGCGAGAUUUUGACCACAAACGGGGCAGACAAUUGGUUGACUGUACCACUGAAGAGGACACCGUUGCCGAGGAGACAGCCGUAAAAGAAAAAAUGCCGUCCGAUACUGAAAGUAACACAAGUUUUAACAACAGCAGUGUACGGACUUUUAAGAUUUUCAUUGGAAAUCUUUCUGAAAAGACCACAUCUAGUGAUAUUAGACCACUGUUUGAGAAGUAUGGCAAAGUUGUUGAAUGUGAUGUAAUGAAAAAUUUUGGCUUUGUUCAUAUGGACGAUGAUACCACUGGCCGUGCAGCUAUCAAAGCUUUGAAUGGUUCAAUGGUAAAUGAUUUAGCCAUGAAAGUAGAAGCUGCCACUAGUCGCCGCGGUCCCAAUACCCCAACUACAAAAAUUUUUGUAGGAAAUCUUUCUGAAACAACAAAGGCCAAUGAAGUACGAGAAUUAUUUGGAAGAUACGGCACUGUUGUUGAAUGUGACAUUGUUAGAACUUAUGGUUUUGUGCAUAUUGAUUCAACUGAUGUAAGCAGACUCAUAAAAGAUUUAAACGGACAUAUGUUGGAUGGUCAACCAAUCAAGGUACAAAUUUCAAAUAGCCGUGUUCGUCAGAGACCUGGAAUGGGCAUGCCAGAGCAGUGUUAUAGGUGCGGCAAGGGUGGCCAUUGGUCUCGGGAGUGCAGUCGUGAAGGGUAUGGAUAUGGAAGAGAUGCCUUACCACCGCUUCCACCACCACGUGCCUUGCUUUAUCCACCACCGCCUCCACCUUCAUUUGUUCGUGAUCGCAUUCUUGGUUCUUAUGGUACUGGCUUAAAAACUGAUAUGACAAGAAUGGACGAUUAUUCAAUGUUAUCGCACUCUGAACUAGGUGGUCAUAUGUAUGAAACUGAAGGCUUGUAUGACCGUUACUAUGAUCGUAGUCUUAUGCGAACAGCUGCUGAUGGUUAUGGCAUGGAUAGAAGAAUGCCAAGAAUGCCAUCUAGUCGCGAUUACUUAUCGUCAUCCACACGUAUUGGAACAACCAUGCGUGACCAAGAUUAUGUAUUCACACGCCGAUCACCAUUGUCAAGCAGUCGUACAUCUUCAUCUCAUGCAUAUGAUGAUUUCUCUAGGGAUUCGUAUGAUGAUCGUCGAAUAUUAUUAACAUGUGGCUGAAUGUGAAUAAUACUGACCAGUGACCAUACUACAAAACCGUGCAUUUUAAAUAUGAAUCAUUAUUGUGCAUGUCAUCUUCUGACGUAUUUGAUAUUUGCCGGUUUCCGUAUUUAACGUAUGGAGUACCAGUGUUUCAAGUGAUAAUGCCCUAAAACAUGUUUUGUUCUUGAGAACAAUGUGAGUUGAUUUUACGCUCUGGAAAGUGGGUUUGGUUUUUGAACAUUUAUAGACUUG
rnacentral:misc_RNA from 1 species